GAUAGGAUGAGCCGCAUGACUUGCUGUGCCCUUCCGCUUCCGACGACAGAAUCAACACCGUCGUACGCGAACGCCGAAGGCAAGGUGCUUCCGAUUCGUCUUCUCCAUCCGUUCGAUCCCGUUGAGAAUCUAGGGUUUCCAGAUUCUCAAAACGGUUCCUUCCUGUGAACUCUGAAGCAUCCUAGAUCUUCUCUUCGGCCUCGGAUUAAAGGGUUGGGUAAGAGGUAUUGGAAAUAAGAGAGCUGGUCAAACCAUGGCGGUUGCAAUGUCCUCAUCCUCGUUCUCGCUUGCCUCAAUCUUCCUCCGACGCAUUUCUGCUGCUACUCUCAAUCAUGCCCCUCCUGUUUCAGCACUAAAAACACCACUACUGCCCUCAGCAACUAUUCCCACUUAUCAUGGAACAACACACAGGUCAUCCCUUCUGACUAACCCCUCAGUUGAGCUUUGUAGAAGGAUCUCUUUUGUGCCCCCGUCCAGUGAUUACUUACCAUAUGGCAGUCUCCGCAAGAGGGGUUUCUGCAGUGUAAGGGCCACAGAGGUGUCUGAUUCCGGCUCGAUCGACUCCCCUAUGAUACAAGCCAUGGAGAAGAAGAUUAAGGAGCAACUUAACGCGGAUGCUGUCGUCGUUAAAGAUGCAUAUGGAGAUGGCCGACAUGUAAGCAUCGACGUAGUCUCCAAAGCAUUUGAAGGACAAUCAUCCGUGAACAGGCAGAGAAUGGUAUACAAAGCUAUAUGGGAGGAGCUUCAGAGCACUGUGCAUGCUGUUGACCAAAUGACAACAAAAACUCCCGCAGAGAUCAACACAAAUAAAUAGUUUCAAUUUAGGCACUAUUCAAUUAUAUUUUGUGAUACUAUUUUCAAGCUGUGAUAACUUAAUGUCCAAUUCCCUAGGUCAUUAUGGGUCGUUUGCAAACUUGAGAAUAAUUCCUGCAUCAUAGAAGAAAAUCAAUUCUCUCAUGUAAUCGUGUUCUAUUCUAUGCCACUGGUGAAGAUGACAUAGGAUGGCUUUCAUGUUAUUUGCAGACUCCAAAUUUCAUGUUGGUUUUAGCUUCUUGUCCUUAAAGGCUUUGGCGCACCAAAUUCCAACUUCUAUAUGUUAUAUCAUGGCUUUGCAGUUUGUGUCAUCACAAAAGAGUAGUAGCUGGAGGCUUAGUUCAGUUCAUGUUCUACAUGGAGCAAUAGAGAUUGAUCUUAUAGAAUGAGCGAAACAAGGGGAAUUUAAUAUCAAAAAUCAGAAACAGACAUUUUAUCUAGAGCAGAGGAUCUCCCAUCUCUAAUCAACAUUUGGUGACCAGCAAGAGCUUUAGAUGCCUAAUUUGCUCCAUAACCUGCCUUGACACAGCAACUCUGAGCCUCUUCAGCUUUAUGCCAAUCUUUGACCUCCUCAACCUGCAAGCUCUGAGCUUCGAAGCACAUGGUGGUCUCCUUCUACUCCUCUCGUCAGCUUCUUUCAGUAUCUUGUAGAUCAGAAAUCUUGCUUUCAGAUGCCGCACGUCUUCCGGAUCUUCCUUCUCAAUUCGUGAGUAGGAAUGGGGAUUCUCAAAGAGAUGCAUCUCAGUGAGGCUUAAGAGUUGCAUAAGCAGCAACAAGGGCUCAUAUAGAGAGAUGCACAUAGCAGCCCUUAGCUGUGUUCACAAUUCAUUCAAUCAGGAAUUUAAGUUCAUUUAUCUUCCUUUAUCAGCUCUUUUAAGAACAUAUGCCUUGAACAUGGCUUCCUGUGGUCACCUUGUUGUUGACUACCAAAUCAAUCCUCACUGGAAUUGUCCACCAAGAACACAUCAUUCUAGCUAUUUGCAAACUGGCAUGAUAUGGUAUGUGGGAUUUAAGUAUGGAUGAUAAAUCCAACAUUUUAGCAUACAGGUAAAUAUAUUAUUUCUUGUUUA